ACCCGCUGAAAUUAAGCAUAUCAAUAAGCGGAGGAAAAGAAACCAACAGGGAUUGCCCUAGUAACGGCGAGUGAAGCGGCAACAGCUCAAAUUUGAAAUCUGGCCUCCUUUUGGCGGUCCGAGUUGUAAUUUGCAGAGGGCGCUUUGGCGUCGGCAGCGGUCUAAGUUCCUUGGAACAGGACAUCACAGAGGGUGAGAAUCCCGUACGUGGUCGCCUGCCUUCGCCGUGUAAAGCCCCUUCGACGAGUCGAGUUGUUUGGGAAUGCAGCUCUAAAUGGGAGGUAAAUUUCUUCUAAAGCUAAAUACCGGCCAGAGACCGAUAGCGCACAAGUAGAGUGAUCGAAAGAUGAAAAGCACUUUGGAAAGAGAGUCAAACAGCACGUGAAAUUGUUAAAAGGGAAGCGCUUGCAGCCAGACUUGCUCGUAGUUGCUCAUCUGGGCUUUUGCCCAGAGCACUCUUCUGCGGGCAGGCCAGCAUCAGUUUGGGCGACCGGAUAAUGGCCUCUGUCACGUAUCUUCCUUCGGGAUGACCUUAUAGGGGAGGCGUAGUACGGUCAGCCCGGACUGAGGUCCGCGCAUCUGCUAGGAUGCUGGCGUAAUGGCUGCAAGCGGCCCGUCUUGAAACACGGACCAAGGAGUCUAACAUCUAUGCGAGUGUUUGGGUGUCAAGCCCGGGCGCGUAAUGAAAGUGAACGGAGGUGGGAACCCUCUUUUCGGAGGGGGUGCACCAUCGACCGAUCCUGAUGUCUUCGGAUGGAUUUGAGUAAGAGCAUAGCUGUUGGGACCCGAAAGAUGGUGAACUAUGCUUGAAUAGGGUGAAGCCAGAGGAAACUCUGGUGGAGGCUCGCAGCGGUUCUGACGUGCAAAUCGAUCGUCAAAUUUGGGCAUAGGGGCGAAAGACUAAUCGAACUAUCUAGUAGCUGGUUCCUGCCGAAGUCUCCCU
rnacentral:rRNA from 1 species